rnacentral:lncRNA from 1 species
CGCAAACACAGAGGAAGGAGCUCUGUGCCUUGGUGACAGGCAGGCUUCUCAGAGGAGGGGUAUGCAGACUCACUAACAGAGAAGUCUUUGCCUCCUUUGUUCAUAGGCACUUACCUAGGAGCCAGCCAAAUGUCGCUAUUGUGACACAGAAGACAGAGAAAGGGAGCUGACAAAGAGAGGAGAGGUCACGCAAGGGGUGAUGCAGAGGUGGCUUAUUGGAGCAGGAGAUGUGUUCCUGAGCAGUCAACGUGUGACAGAAUCCUACCCGAAGGCACCAAGAAAGCUUCCUCUACGAAGAAACUCUUUAGAAUCUUGCCUAAGAUGAAAGAAUGUGCUGCUCAGAAAAGUUAAGUGCCUAGACCACUAUGUUAACUACACAACAGAAAAAUGAGAAGUGGGAGAGAGGCAGAUGGAUCAGCAUACAUGAAGCCACUCAAAAUAAGCUUCUGAUCUGGAGUCAUGUGAAAUCCCUCAUUGUGCAGACACUACCUGCACCCCUACAGAUUAAAGAUCCAUAUCAGAGCACUCUCAAAGCUGGCUCUCACAGAACCUGCUUCCAGUUGACUCCUGCUUCUGAAGCAAGUGAGGAAAAACAUGCCAAACGCCCUCCCUUCCGUUCAAAGAGAGGCCACAUUUGUCCUGCACGCUAAUCAAAGAAAUGUGCCAGCAUCUUGCCCAAUUUGAGUCCUGACUUCAUUACUGAAAUGCGGUGUCUGCUGAGGUGGGUGACUGGGGCAGCUGUUCAACAUAUGCCUAGCAACACUGAACGGCCCCGCUGGUCCAGCAAGUGAGGGAUGCUCUAUCCCUUCGAAGCUGAAGGGGAAAUGGUAAGUAAGCAUAAAGUAAUUACCCACUUGGAACCUGUCCAGGCUGUGUUCAAUGCAAUUGAAAGCUUUUGUCCUUGAUGCCAACCUUCCCCAGCUUAGGGAGGUCAGAGAACUUGGAAUAUUUUCACCACUCUGUGCUGCGAAGACCUGAUCUACUUUGAAGAUCUGUCUGAAAUUCACUGAGGUCACUGAGGGGAGGGAUUACCGCCUUCCCAGCCAAAGAACAUCCUGUCUCCUGAGAGUUAAUAUCAUUUCAAAUGCUCUUUGGUUCAUGUUAACUGUUGCUGCCUUCUCUCUUCCUGUGUUAGCGGUGUACAGAGUGCCUUCCACAGACAUUAUCCUAUUGAGCAGCACAACAACCAUGUGAGGGAAACGGCAUGCAUUCUUAUUCCCAAUUUACAGGCAAGGGAACCUGAUGACAGAGAGGGUAAUCGACUGAAUGAGGAUGGAGUCAUGGUCUUCCAAGUCUUGUCAUCCGGGCAGUCCAUCUCUUUUCUUCUUUACCCAACUUCACCUCUAAAUACCAUGAUUC